UGCAGCAUGGGCCAGAGGUGUGAAGACACAAGUUUUCCAGGGUUUGGAUAUUUUAGGUGGAAUUUAAGGCCCAAUCCUGAUGUUGGCAAAGUUAGUAGAAGACUUACUGAAAGACUAGUGGAAAGAAUUUGAAGGGUUUUAAUGAGGAAAAUAUUCCCAAGUGGAGGAAAAAUAAAUGGGUUCAGCUGCCUGCCUUUAUUAGGAAAGGCUACUUAAGAGAAGACUUCUAGGACUGGGAGAGCAUGGAUUAAGUUAUGAAAGAUAUACACGUGACCAUUCCAUAUGUUUGUACCAAAAAUGUGAAACAAGAAAACCAACCCAGCAAAACCAUUCAUGAAACAAAGGCUGAAAAGCCAUGAUUGAUGCCAACCAGGAGAGAAACAUUAAUAUUUCAGAUUUAUUUUACUGUGUGGUGUUUUCUGUUGUGCUCUGACAGCUUAUGGCACACGAUCUGUGCGAUAAUCAAGGCUUCUUGCUGAAGACAACACAUAAACAAGUCUGGUUAGAGCUAGGAGCCUGAGAGAGCACCAAUGGAUUCAAGGGUGAGCAUCUGGUGGCAUUCAUAGUAGUAGUUACCAAGAAAUAUAUGAUCCUGGUCAGCUAAAAGCAGAUAAACCAGCACACAGACUACUCAAUUCUGCACAGAAAUGCAAAAAUGGUUUGUUAUGGAGUGGUCUGAGGUGUCUGACUGGGAACACACCAACUCCAGGGAAAGGAGUUUGGAAGCCAUAUAAGAGAUAUGUUUACAGGUGAUGGGUGGCAUCUCCACUAAGCCGUCAAAUCCUGAAAUAUUAAGAGGAUCUCUCACUUCCCAGAGCUGUGGAGACAUUUAUCUGCACUGGACUUUGGCACCACAAUUGUGUCUGCAUCUGUUCAGAACUGAGAAGAAAGACAAGUGACAACCAGUCCAAAGUGCCAGACUGAAAGCCUGUUCCAGCUUCCAAUACAUCUUUCCCAGCAAAGUGUCGGCAAGCCUGAAGGGUUCUCUUCAAUCAGUUUUUUUUACUUGCUCAUAAUUGAAAACUGUCAACAAGUGUCUGUGAACAUUUCCCUGAUUAUUUUUUUUGUUUGUUUUUCAGGGGAAAAUUACAAGUGCAUGUCUCAGCUUGCAUCUGUCUGCUCCUUGCUAUCAGCAGAGCACGCUGUACCUGCUCGAAAUAAUUACUGCACUCUACCUUGUGCAUAGAGUAACUGAAAUGCUCUAUCCCCUUCAAGGAUGCUUCCUCCUUCCUGCCUGUCUUCAGUCAUGUGAGGCCACGCUAAAUGAAGACUAACCUGACUGCUCAGUGAGCUCACACAGUAGGAUGCAAUGGUUUCCUUCUGGCUAACUUUGCAAUCCCAAUGACCAAUUGUCACGAUGCGACUGUUCAGCUGGGGCUGAGCUCUGAUUUCUGCUCUUUUUGAGGGACGUGAUUGCUGGCUGCUUGUGGCCCACACUGCCCUAUGUGCCCUAUGUCUGAAGUAAGUGCAUUCAGGGAUACGAAAGAAAGACCAACCUGAAUUAGAAGAACUCUGCAAACAUCAUCCGCUCUCUCCCCCUCAAUUCUGUGGGACAAGUUUCACUUCUUCUAAUAAAGUACAUGGAUUUCCACCAAACCCUAUCAAGAAAAUGACUUUGCAAUGAGCUGACAUUGGUUGUUAUCCUACACCUUGCCACAUUUUAUUAACUUGGCUUUUAACAGAUGGCUUUUAAUGAAUAAUUGCACAGUAAUGAAGAAAAUAUCUUGCUCUUAAAUAAAGCUGUAUGCAGAUUUACUGAUCAACUUAGACACUGUAUCUCAUUUGCUUACGGUACACCUCCUGCUUGGAGUAUAAUUAUCCAACUUUGUGUCUGCAUUUAACUGCCUGAAUUGAGAGGAAUAAAAGUGGGUAGAAGUAAUUAAUUGUCAAUGUUACCCUCCAGCUUCUAUUGAAGGCUUCAUCAGCCUGGAGCUGAUGAGCUCUGAAUACUUCAGGCUUUUAGAGAUAUUGAAGAUGUUACUUGUGAACGUUUUCCUCCUUUGUGGAUACUGCAUCGCAUUGUACAUAACCUGCACCAUGCAGUAAAGAUCUCUUGAAACAUGCAGUUCUUCCUGAAGUAUCACUGUCCUUUUUUGCUAAAGCACUGCAGUGGAUGGAAGGAAAAAACAGGCUUUCAACUCUCUUUGAAGCAUGACGUGCACUACAGUACUGUGUAUUUAUUAAGAUGAUGAGUCUGGUCCAGCUGUCCUUCAAGCCCAGGGAAAGCACUGCCAAGCCUUGAUCUGUUCCCUGAUGGGCUUCCUGAAUUUGGGACAACUCACCACCAACUCUGUUUUCUUCUUCCAUUGAGAGCCUUUCAGUUCACUCAUAACUCCUCUGCUCCUUUGCUUGGGUUUCCCAUAGCACUUUGAUUCAUUCCUCAUCCUCACACACAUUCCUCUUCGUGGCUGAGUUUUU